UCAUAGUUCUAUUUAUUGACAUUAGUAUAUGCUAGGAAUUCAGAGGUGACUAUGGAGUUGUCUCCUCUUUUAUGGACCUUACUUUCUGUUUGACAUAGUUGGGGAGCUGGGUGGAGGGAGGUUUUAGUCUGUUGCAAUUAGCUAGGAAAGGAAAUUAAGAAAGCAGUGAAGGGUGGGUGACAUUUUUAGCUGAGGACAGUCCUGUUCAGUUGGCUUUUAAUUGCAGGCUCGAUGAGUUUUCACUGGAGGGAAUUGAUCUUACAGAAGAUGGACUUAACUCAGGCCUCUUCAGAAUGGACAAAUGAACCUGGAGAAAGACAGUCAAAUCUGUGCAGACAUUGAAGUUCACGUGAACGUGCUGUAUCCCUGAGCCAAAGAUAGGACAAGUAGGCAGCACUUCUUGAGGACAGAGGGGUGGUUUUUAAGGUUCUCCAAGAAUGAAUCCCAGGGAACCGGGAUGGCCAGUUGUCAAACUGUGACUUUGCUCUUUGGACGGUGUGCCCACCAAAGGAGAGGAAAACAAGUCUAAACUUACUUUCCAGUUGAAAAUGGAAUGGAGAGUUAACGUUGGAAGCCGGGAGCGUCUGUCCUGUGAUGAAGCGGUCUCCGAGCCACUUCCACUGGGACGUCACGUCACUGUCUGGGCCCCUUGCACAGCCUGUGCACAGGGAGCAGAUUCCUCUGUUUCAGGGAAUACAGGCCUUUCUAGGAAAAGGACAGGAUGAACGUGGAGAGGUGGGGCCGGAGGGGGUCUGGAGCAUCUGCACAGCGCUGCUUCCCUGCAUUUCUGCAUCCGGUCCCAUCAGUGCACGAAGUCAGCCUUCCUCUUCCUUCCUGUGUCAUCAGGUCUCUGUUUUAUGGGAAAACCUUUUUUACGUGUCUUUUUUCACUUACAUGUUUCGUUCAGAUGCUUGUUGCUUUUCUCCCUGUGCUUCAGCGUUCCUAGGAGAGAAUUCAGCAGUGCAGCAUCCUCUCCGAGCUCUAUGAGUUGAUCGGCUUCCACUGCAAGUCCGUCUUCUUCAAGUGGGUGGCCCCCGUGCAGCGCGCGGCCCCCGGCAUCCCGGAGCCUGGCGGGAAGGCCUGCUACCGACUCCUUCUGCAGACGCUUCCUGGCUACAGUCUGUCACUGAUUCUGCAGGACUUCAACAAAGGUUUUGGAACUAAAACAUUGCUUCAGUCCGAUUAACCAUGCCUUGUUUGGGCCCUGCUCUCCUGUCUCAUCAGGGUGAAUUGUGAUUCGUGUAGAACAGGACACAGCAGACUUUUUUCUGUCAAGGGCUUGGGAGUCAAUAUUUCAGGAUCUGCAAACCUCCUGAUCU